rnacentral:rRNA from 1 species
GAUGAACGCUAGCUACAGGCUUAACACAUGCAAGUCGCGGGGCAGCAUGAAUUUAGCUUGCUAAAUUUGAUGGCGACCGGCGCACGGGUGAGUAACGCGUAUCCAACCUUCCCCUGUCCACGGGAUAGCCCGUCGAAAGGCGGAUUAAUACCGUAUGAGGUCACACGAUGGCAUCAGACUGUGACGAAAGGUUUGGCGGACAGGGAUGGGGAUGCGUCCGAUUAGGUAGUCGGCGGGGUAACGGCCCACCGAGCCGACGAUCGGUAGGGGUUCUGAGAGGAAGGUCCCCCACAUUGGAACUGAGACACGGUCCAAACUCCUACGGGAGGCAGCAGUGAGGAAUAUUGGUCAAUGGACGUAAGUCUGAACCAGCCAAGUAGCGUGCAGGAUGACGGCCCUAUGGGUUGUAAAACCCUCUUUUAGUUUGGGAAUAAAGUGCGGGACGUGUCCCGCAUUGCAUGUACCAUUUGAAUAAGGACCGGCUAAUUCCGUG